ACGAACGCUGGCGGCUGCUUAACACAUGCAAGUCGAACGGAGUGGCGAACGGGUGAGUAACGCGUGAGCAACCUGCCUAUGACAGUGGGAUAGCCUCGGGAAACCGGGAUUAAUACCGCAUAGUCAUAGAUGGGCUCGCGUCUGAUUAGCUAGUUGGUGAGAUAACAGCCCACCAAGGCGACGAUCAGUAGCCGGUUUGAGAGGAUGAACGGCCACAUUGGAACUGAGACACGGUACAAACUCCUACGGGAGGCAGCAGUGGGGAAUAUUGCACAAUGGGGGAAACCCUGAUGCAGCGACGCCGCGUGAACGAAGAAGGUAUUCGUAUCGUAAAGUUCUGUCCUAUGGGAAGCGUUACCGACAGAAGAAGCACCGGCUAACUCCGUGCCAGCAGCCGCGGUAAUUC
rnacentral:rRNA from 1 species